GUCACCAGGGAUGCAGAGAGGUGCCCAGAUCACAGCACCCAGCGCUGUAGCAGGGAACCUUGUAACUGAUCCUAGCAGAAUGGAAUGAGGAGCCCAGAAGUGCAGGGGCAAACACAUGCAGUUCCCAGAGAUGAGAGCUGACCUGGAAAAAACAAGGUAUAUACUGCAGAAGACUCAAGGCAAGAAAGAAAAAUAUUCAGUUGUCGUUGAUCUCUGUUGACCCAAGAUUAGUAAAAGAACUGCCAACGAGUCUGUAACUUGACCCACUUGGAAGCUACAGACUGUCUGCAGGAGCCAAGUUAGUUUUAGAGAAAUGAUUGCUUCUUCUAUUUACAAGUUACAAUUUGACAACCUGGGUUUGCUUGGUUUGUUCGAUGAAUCACAUUUCAAGAGACCACCGCACAGCAUUUUUGAAGAAAGAAGCCUGCGCAGAGGGCUGGCUCUCCUUCGUAUACUGCUCUUGGGGGGAAAUCUGGUCCUGCAGCAUGAAGUGCCAAACAUCUUGCAAGCAAUCUUGUGACAGUUGCAGCCUUCCUUUGUAAACUCCAGAGGCUCAGAGAGUUCAGACUGCAUUUGUAUAUUCAGCCGAUAAGCUGAACACUUGCCUGAGCUGAAAUGAACUUCAUAAUGACCUUUUGGGGUCAUUAAGAAGGAGUCUGAAAAAGAGAGAAGGUUAUCAUAAAUUAAUUUGUGUAUGUGCAUGUAUGCGUGGAUGUGUGUAUGUGUGUGCAUGUUUGCACAUUUUUGUACAAAUAGUUAAAUAUUCAUAGAGAUUCACUAGAGCACGUGGUAUGGUUAACUGUGAAAUACAGCCAGAUGAAUACAAAUUUAGCAAAG
rnacentral:lncRNA from 1 species